CACUUGUGAUCGUAUGUGCACAGCUGCAUGUACGUUUCGUCCCACAUGGCCAGGACUUGUGACUGUAACUAUGACAUAUGCAAGGCAGCCCCGUCCUGAUCACUACAGCAGAGCCAUAUGAAACGUCUAUACGGACCACACAGGACUCCAGGUCCUGCUGCUAGAGAGCUCUGUUCUCUGGUCACAUAGGAACUUAUCUCCAACAGGCUGCCUGGAAAUUAAAACCCAGCUCUAAGUCUAGUUUAGUUCAAAGAAAGGGUUCACAGUCUGUGUUGGUGAAUCUGGAGCCGGGUGUUAAAAUCCCUCAGGGCCGUAUCUGCGUUGUGUGUCUCUUGAUAACAGAAAUAUUCUGUCAGGAUGAAGGAGUCACUGAUGUUUCCGGAGGAAGCGCUUUCACGUAGAAGCAGCUCAGGACUAAACCAGCCAGGAAGUCAGGACGCAGCGUGUUCGUCAUACAGAUAAGCCGUGAAUUUAGAGCAAUAGUGGAGCUGAUCGGAGGGCAAAGCGGGGAUAAACCGUAUUUUUGGAAAUGAAGUGGAGCUCUGUUCAGUCCGACAUCGGUGCUGCCUGUUGGUUUUACCUCACGAAGCUGAAGACAGCUCGUAGGAACCACCGUUUUGACUUGACUGGGGGUGCUGUAACUUUAAGCUAACAUGCUGUAGCUCGCCCCAGGACUAGCCGGUAUGUCUCCGGGCUGAUCCGGCACAGAGCAGCCGGUUCUUAUCGAUCUGAUAAAGAAAGACCUCAGCAACCUGGUGAAGAUGGAGCUGUGACAUCAUCUGGUCAGACCACCAGCAUAGCGGUGUGUGUUCGUGAUGCUGGAAGACUACUUGUCUGCAGAAUUUGGAAAGGACCAACACGUGUGACAUCUAAUCCUCAGCCAUAGUGUUUCCUUUGUUUCAAAGUAAGAUGCGUAAAUGUGAUAUUAAGUCAAAUGUAACUGCAGCCUGUACACACACUGAAUGAAACCAUUUUCCUCAGGCUCUGUACUGUCACUGAAUCAAACUCAAUGUAAUUAAAGGUAGAUUUAAAAAGUAUUAAUUAUGAGUCCUGCCAGCUGGUCAGAAAUGUAACUGAUGUAUUUCUCAGUGUAGUGGUUAUCGCCUGCUGUAAAUAUUUCAUCAUACUGAUUCAAGAUGAACCUGUCCUGCAUUGUUUCAGGUUCCUUUGAAUGUCUUUUAGAAAGAAAAAAAAAUCAGGACGUUGAGAAGUUGGACCCAUUUCGGACGACUGACAAAAUCAACAGCUUCUCUGCUUUGGCUGAACAAAGAUCAGUCACAUCUAGCCUGUCACCUGUUUGAGCUUCUGCCCUCGAGUAGGAGAUUCAGGUCUAUCCGAGGCCAGACAACCAGACUCCCACCCCCAAGCAGUAAUACUGCUGAAUGGACUCGCUCCAGCUAAACUAGUGGUCCCCAUUAGGACAUGAGUGUUGCCCAUGUUGUUGGGGUUGUGUUGAAGGGUCCUCUACCAUACUCACUUGUGCAUGUGUAUAUCCUGUGUGGGUAAAAUAAAAUGACUUUUAUUUGA